GCCCCUGUGGCGCAGUGGUAGCGCGCUUAUCUGUGACACCAGAGGUCCCAGGUUCGAAUCCUGGCAAAGGCA